rnacentral:lncRNA from 1 species
UUACAUGUUUGAAUGAUUUUUGGUGCAUUGAUUUUCUGUUUAUUUAAAAAUCUUUGAGAAAGGUGAUGAUUGAGAAUCGUUUAUUUUUGGAGAGAAAGUUUUUUAAAGAUUGUUUAAACGGGUUUAGCUUCACAAUCAUAUUAAGGUAAAUUCAUAUUAAUUAUCGUCUUUACUCCACUAUUUAUUAUUUUGACGAUAAUUUAUUAUAUGAUUUCUUAUUGCAUAAAUUCAUCAAAAUUUUGAAAUCAAAUUGAAUUUUUUGGUGAUUAAUUCAUCUUGGUUGUGAGUGUUGAAUAUGAUGAAUGGAUAUUCUUUAAUUGACUAAAAUUCGUCAAAAUUAGUUUCAACUGUGAGAUUGUCUAAUUUAGGGGGAGUGUGAAAUUGUUUAAAAAUAAAAAAAAAGGAGAAAAAGAAACUCCUAUAUGUAAAAGAUGUGGAAAGAGUUACAUCCUAAAAGGAGUGUGAAAACUACCACCACAUGUAGGAAAGAGCUACCACCCCGGUCGUCCGGCAAGUGUGUGAAGCUACCACAUGGUAUUUAAUUGAAAAAGCCGAAAAAGGUUGAAAAAUGUAUACAUUUUUUAGAAUUUUCGGAGUGAUAAGGUGUUAGUUUGAUAAAAGAUGCUCAAAGAGCCACCCCCGGUAUCAUAUUAGUUAAAUCUCUAUUUUGAACAUGUUACGACAAAUUGGUGUCAAUUUUUGUUGAAUUUCUAAAAGUCAUUUUUCAUCAACUUACAUCUUGAUGUUUUUUGAAUCAUUAAAUUAUUUUUGAUAAUAAAAUUUUGAUGUUUUGAUGUAUUUUGAAAUUUUAUAAUAUCUUAUUGUCAUUAUAAUGAUUCUUGGAGUAAAAGCCUUAAUUUAUUUGAAAUUAAUUUAAUUUGAUGGAUUUUUAAAGCAAUUUUUUCGAAAUCUGAGAUCGUUCGUCAAGCUUAGAGAGCUCUUUCACUGCAUUUGCAUUUUAGGAUGAUGUUUUAGUUUCAGUUCUGUUUUUUUUUUUUCUUUUAGGCCCGUAACUAUGACUUGAUUACGCUUAUGUUUUUCUAGUAUGUUUUCUCUCUUUAUUUGCUUUCUUUUGGCAAUUUUUGACAAAAAGGGGGAGAGCGUAGAUGAAAGGGGAGAGCAUGGAUGAACAGGCAUUGAACAGUUGCAGAGGAUGAUGAGUUCAAGAACAAAGGGGGAGAUGUGAACAAAGGGGGAGAAGGUAUAAGAAUUUAAUGCUAAUCAUUUUUGAAUGAAUUGUUUUGUAGGAAAUCAAGACUUCAAGACUCCUAGUUGCGUCUAAGUCAUAGAGUCUGUUUUAGGAGUUUUGAUGUAAUGUUGAGUUUCAAAUUGUAUUUGGAUUACACGCGAGGGGUUCGAUGUUUUGGUGAUGACAUUGAACUUCGUUUUUUCAUUAAAUUGUAAUUUGUGAGUUUGUGUGUGUUUUGUCACGAAAUUGCCAAAGGGGGAGAUUGUUAGGUCCUAUGUGUUGGCAAGUUUCGUGGGUUGAGUUGGAGUCUUGAAGAAGUUCGGAGCGGAAUAUUGAAGAUCGAAGAAUCCAAGACUUCGAAGAAUCGGAAAGGAUGCAAAACACGUAAAACAUGAAUCACGAUGCGUAGGUAAGCUUU